ACAAGAGUGACAUGUUACAACACAAGAGUGACAUGUUACAAACACAAGAGUGACAUGUUACCAACACAAGAGUGACAUGUUACAAACACAAGAGUGACAUGUUACAAACACAAGA